rfam:Capsicum annuum cultivar Zunla-1 chromosome 4, whole genome shotgun sequence
AUUCUAACUCAAAGAAUUUUUUUUUUUAAUCUUAAAAAAUAUCGAAAAGAUAAGCAUGGCCCCCGUGCAAGGAUGACCCAUGAAGAUGUGUUAUUGAUCAUCGAUCA